rnacentral:tRNA from 1 species
GGUGAUAAAUGCGUUUUGCAGCAAGGUUCAUGUCCUUGUGGUUAUAAAUUUUUAUUGUCACUA